AACAAUUGUUAAAAGCAUGAGAAAGUUCAAGUAGGUUGAUUGAAGUGCCCAGGAGGCUCUCGGUGAAGCACCAAAACACUGCUCCAGUUGCUCUGCACUCAAGUGCAUCAGUGGUUUGUUAGGACAGACGGAGGCUGUAUGAUGCCAGUGGAGGGUGCAUGAGGAGACGGUCCUCCAGUCCAAGUUUGACUGUGUGAUUGGAUCCUGUGAGAAUCCCAAUGAAGCAAUGAGUAUCUCAGCUGCAGCUUCACUCCCCAGGGCCCCAGCUCAGGCCGGCCCCACUCCUGUCUGUACAGGCCAAGAAGGCAGGACAGCACAGAGGCUGGGAAUGAAGAAGGGCUGCACUACAAAAGGAACCUGCGGAUGAUUUUAAAGAGGAGGAGGAGUCUUUAAAGAAGAGGAUUUGUGUUGUACAGCUGGCAUACAAAGCCCCAAAAAACCCACAAGCCUGGAUUUGCAAAGAUCGAGCAUUUCGGCAUCAAAAGAAGUGGUUGUGACGCGGCGUCACACUGACAGACAUACAAGACUCUGUGGAUGAUCCCCACAGCCCGGACUGAGAGGAAGAGAAGAGUCGAUUCAUCCAACCACUGUGCUAAGCAGGAAUUAUUUGACUUGAUGGCGGUCCAAGGCGAUCCCUCUUCUUUCUCUUGACAGGAACGCCUUGUUUUGGCAGCAUCCUGGACAAUGCGGGUCAGCAAAGCCAGUUGGGACAAAUUUGAAUGCAGCACCAUGAAGGCGCUGAGUGAACGCAGCAGCUUCUCCUGUUGGUCGAGGCGCUGCAGGAGCGCAGCCUGUUCCGAGUCUCGGCUCCGCCUCAGGGCCUUCAGCUGAUCCUUAGUCUGAUGAUGCUGCUUCCUCUGGUUCUGUUCUCU